rnacentral:rRNA from 1 species
AUUGAACGCUGGCGGCAUGCUUUACACAUGCAAGUCGAACGGUAACAGGCCGCAAGGUGCUGACGAGUGGCGAACGGGUGAGUAAUGCAUCGGAACGUGCCCAGUCGUGGGGGAUAACGCAGCGAAAGUUGCGCUAAUACCGCGUACGAUCUAUGGAUGAAAGCGGGGGACCGUAAGGCCUCGCGCGAUCGGAGCGGCCGAUGUCAGAUUAGGUAGUUGGUGGGGUAACGGCUCACCAAGCCGACGAUCUGUAGCUGGUCUGAGAGGACGACCAGCCACACUGGGGCUGAGACACGGGCCAGAGUCCUACGGGGGGCAGCAGUGGGGAAUUUUGGACAAUGGGCGCAAGCCUGAUCCAGCAAUGCCGCGUGCAGGAAGAAGGCCUUCGGGUUGUAAACUGCUUUUGUACGGAACGAAACGGUCCUAGUUAAUACCCGGGGCUAAUGACGGUACCGUAAGAAUAAGCACCGGCUAACUACGUGCCAGCAGCCGCCGCCGUAA